CGCAAUGUCGUUUUUAUUUCUGCUACGUCCGCCACCAUCGCCAAACAUAGCCGAACGCCAUCGCCGACCAUCGCCGUCGACCAGAGUGCCCACCACCGACGCCAAAGGCCACAUCCACCAACGACCACCAAACAGAUCUUUCUGAAGCCUCUACUCGCGACCCUAACGCCACCGCCAAAACCUCUGGACUCCGAUUUCGUGCUUCUCUUUUCGACUUGCACAGAUUGAAAAGUAUGUGUUUAACAUCCAAAGAAGUGAUGCAUUUUGGAAGUGUUUAUCUAAACAAGAACAAUAAUUUGAUCAAAGGUUUCUAGUCUCAUUUGAAGCAAUCUUUCGUAAGCGAGGAAGAUGACAUGGGACCAUGGUCAAGCCACAGGCUAAUUCAGGUUUCUGGUAUCCUUAUAGGAAUGCAUUUAAAGUUGUUGAUGAGAUUGGUAUACACCCUUCACAAACUGGAUCAAAUCUGCACAAUAUUCACAAGAGGGAUUGGAGGUUGAAAAUUUUGGGACGUUUAAAUUAUGACCUCAACAUCUCGACCGCUCGACAAUGCUAAUUUCGCAAAUUUACAAGAAUUUAGAAUUUGAAGGCUACUAUUAUAUUGAUGUAUAGAUUUUGAAUUGACUAUUAUUACUUAAUAAAUAUGGAUUGAUAAUGUAUUAUUACUUGAAAGUAAUGUGAAUUGAUAAUAUUUUAGAAUUAA